UAUUAUUCCAAUCGUCUUCCAACUACUGUCCUGGAAGACCACACGCAGGCACACGAAAGAUGAAGCUAAUGUUUUGUUUCGUUGUGCAUCAUUGCCAGUAAGACUUAAUCUUCUGCCUUCUUAUCUGUUCCUUUUCCUUCUCUGUUCUGACUGUAUCCUAUCUUUCUUUGGUUUGAAAAGUAAAUUAUUUGAGUAUAGCUUUUCUUUUUCCUUUUCAAAUCCUAUCUCCUCUGCUCUGAGAGCAGGUUCAAAUCUGGUUAACAAGAAUCUAGCACUGAUUCAUGAAAACACCCUGAUUUCAUGUUUCAAACCCAUCAUACAACCACACCUUCUUCAGUCGGGCUUUCUAAUUUUUGCAUUUUCUAAAUGAAGCAAUUUUGCAGUCCAUCUUAUCUAGUCAAUCCAGGAAGGGGUCUCAAGAAGGUUCUACUACAAGGUAUAUACAGGAGCCGCCAUGAUUCACAGGAGCCGCCAAAAGCAGGAAGGGAGGCUUGAAUCAAUGAAAUUUGAUCCUCAGAAAACAAAGAGCCAGUAGGCAAUGAGACUGAAUGAGGGCAAGAGAACAAUCAGAACCAAAAGGAACAGAAAACAGUAUUUUCGGCAGCCAGAAGAAUUUGCAAAGUGCAAACCCUCCUGCUUAGAGUCAGACUUCCAUCCCUGGAUUUAACACGUCUCUUUCUCAGUACAGUGCAGUGUUUCCAUAUAAGGUGGGCUGAAGCUGCCACACACGUACAGACAAACUGCUGCCUCAGUCAUUGGUUCUGCAGAACUGGCUGAUGCUGAGCUCCUGUAAACAUCAGUGAGAAGAUCAAGCCAGCGACGGACUGAAAGUAACACCUGAAACACAGUCACUCACAACUUUCAUUUUGGGGAAAAUAAACGCAGGCAGAAGCAGCAGGUGGUAUAGCAGCUGAGUAUAUCUAAUCUUUUAAAAUACUGAUGUUCUUUAUCGCAUGAUACUGGAAAGAAUAGCCAUCUGGCACCUAUUGUUCUUAGGCCUAUAAACACUUCAAAUCAGAU
ensembl:lncRNA